AGGUGUUUUGGAAUGGACAGUUACUGGAAAGGUAACAGAUUAUGGGCAAAACGUGACAUUAUUUUGCAAUGUUCCAAACUGCUGUCCAAAAGAUGCAGGAUGGGACAGAUGGACUCCAAUACAACAGACACUGUUUAUAGAUGUCAAAGCAGGACACCCUAAUAAAAAGUAUGAUGGAAAGGUUUUUCAGGAUGGAUAUACCUUAGUUAUACAAAAUCUGACAAAAGAAGAUCUUAAUGUUUCGUAUUCCUGCUUAUAUGGUGUAACAUUAGGACAGAAGAAAUUUUUAUUGGAAGAAGAAGUAUUCACAGACAAAAGUGAUACCAAACCAACUGGUAACAGUAGAUUCUCUGAGAUUCAAAUUGCUGGUAUUAUAAUUGGGAUUGUCGUUCCAUUAGCAGUUGCAGUAGUGUUUUUUGUAAUAUUUUUGACGAAAAAAAGGAAAAAAAGACACAGAA